rnacentral:rRNA from 1 species
UACGGGGGGGGGCAAGCGUUGUUCGGAAUUACUGGGCGUAAAGGGCUCGUAGGCGGCCAACUAAGUCAGACGUGAAAUCCCCAGGCUCAACCUGGGAACUGCGUCCGAUACUGGGAGGCUUGAAUCCGGGAGAGGGAUGUGGAAUUCCAGGUGUAGCGGUGAAAUGCGUAGAUAUCUGGAGGAACACCGGUGGCGAAGGCGGCAUCCUGGACCGGCAUUGACGCUGAGGCGCGAAAGCCAGGGGAGCAAACGGG